rnacentral:rRNA from 1 species
UACAGAGGGUGCUAGCGUUGUUCGGAAUCAUUGGGCGUAAAGGGCGUGUAGGCGGUUUGUUAAGUCAUGUGUGAAAGCCCCCGGCUCAACCGGGGAACGACGCAUGAAACUGGCAAGCUAGAGUACCGAAGAGGGGGGUGGAAUUCCCGGUGUAGCGGUGAAAUGCGUAGAUAUCAAGAGGAACACCUGAGGUGAAGACGGGUUGCUGGGCUGACACUGACGCUGAGGCGCGAAAGCCAGGGGAGCAAACGGG